AGCGAACGCUGGCGGCAGGCCUAACACAUGCAAGUCGAACGGACCCUUCGGGGUUAGUGGCGGACGGGUGAGUAACGCGUGGGAACGUGCCUUUAGGUUCGGAAUAGCUCCUGGAAACGGGUGGUAAUGCCGAAUGUGCCCUUCGGGGGAAAGAUUUAUCGCCUUUAGAGCGGCCCGCGUCUGAUUAGCUAGUUGGUGAGGUAACGGCUCACCAAGGCGACGAUCAGUAGCUGGUCUGAGAGGAUGACCAGCCACAGUGGGACUGGGACACGGCCCAGACUCCAACGGGAGGCAGCAGUGGGGAAUCUUGCGCAAUGGGCGAAAGCCUGACGCAGCCAGGCCGCGUGAAUGAUGAAGGUCUUAGGAUUGUAAAAUUCUUUCACCGGGGACGAUAAUGACGGUACCCGGAGAAGAAGCCCCGGCUAACUUCGUGCCAGCCGCCGCUGUAA
rnacentral:rRNA from 1 species